UCCCUUUUAACUCAAUGGUAGAGUAACGACAUGCUAAGGCGUAAGUCAUCGAUUAAAAUCCGAUAAGGGGCU
rnacentral:tRNA from 1 species